UAUAACUCCCAAACCCAUGUGAACAUACCUCUCGUUGCCUCGGCGGAGAGAGGGAUUACCCCGGUGUGGUUACCCGGAGGCGCAUACCCAGUAUGCGCCGCCCGGCACUCCAGGGCCGUCUCUCCCGCCGCCGCUGGCCCGCGAAACUCUGUUUUAUUUUGGAAUUCUGAAUAGCAAACUAAAUAAGUUAAAACUUUCAACAACGGAUCUCUUGGUUCUGGCAUCGAUGAAGAACGCAGCGAAAUGCGAUAAGUAAUGUGAAUUGCAGAAUUCAGUGAAUCAUCGAAUCUUUGAACGCACAUUGCGCCCAUUAGUAUUCUAGUGGGCAUGCCUGUUCGAGCGUCAUUUCGACCAUUAAGCCCUGGUUGCUUAGCGUUGGGAGCCUACUGGCCUGGCCUGUAGCUCCUCAAAGUUAGUGGCGGAGUUAGUGCAUACUCUAGGCGUAGUAAUUUAUCUUCUCGCUUUUGUAGUUGUGCUGGCGCUUGCCGUAAAACACCCAACUUUUAAUAGGUUUGACCUCGGAUCAGGUAAGAAUACCCGCUGAACUUAAGCAUAUCAAUAAGCGGAGGAAGCAUAUCAAUAAGCGGAGGAGCAUAUCUUUCAGCGGAGGAGGUUAUCUGUACCCCGGAGGAACCUGCCGACCCGGUGASUUAUUGAUAUGCUCCUCCGCUUAUUGAUAUGCUCCUCCGCUUAUUGAUAUGCUCCUCCGCUUAUUGAUAUGCUCCUCCGCUUAUUGAUAUGCUCCUCCGCUUAUUGAUAUGCUCCUCCGCUUAUUGAUAUGCUCCUCCGCUUAUUGAUAUGCUCCUCCGCUUAUUGAUAUGCUCCUCCGCUUAUUGAUAUGCUCCUCCGCUUAUUGAUAUGCUCCUCCGCUUAUUGAUAUGNUCCUCC
rnacentral:rRNA from 1 species